GGAGAGUAUCGAGGAAUGGGGACUUGAUUUAUUUUAGAGAGGUGGAAUUUGAAUAAAAUAAGUUAUUUUUAUGUUUUCUUUUUUUGAGGCCCUGAAGGAGUAGUAGGAAACCGGGAUUAGAUACCCCGUUAUUUGUUAUGUAAACUUUGAUUUGAAUAGGAUUUACUUGGGUAUUACGAGUCGUUUUUUAUUUAUGAUUAUUAAAUGAAUUACUUAAAACCCAAAAAACUUGGCGGUGCUUUAAUUCUUUCCAGGGGAACCUGUCCUGUAAUCGAUGGUCCACGAUUUAGCUUACUUUCGAUUGUAUGAUGUAAGUAUUUUAUUUACAGUUUGUAUACCGUCGUCGGGAGAUUACCUUUAAGAGUAAAGAAGUUGUCGGUAGAAUAAGGCUAUUUUUUAGUAUGUAGGUAUGAGUGAUUAACUUGUUGAGCAUACUAGGGAAAUAGUUAGUUUUGAUGUCAGAUCAAGGUGCAGCUAAUGCGGAAGUAGAGAUGGGUUACAAUAAUUAUUUCUUAUACGGAUAUUAAAUUGUAAUUUUUAAUUGAAGGGGGACUUGGGAGUAAUGAAGAAUACUUAGUGAGUAGAGAGUUAACAUGAAAUAUUAGUUCUAAGGUGCGU
rnacentral:rRNA from 1 species